rnacentral:lncRNA from 1 species
UGCCUAGCUUAGCAUUUGCAUAAGUAAGGCACAGGACUCUGCAUGAAGGGGUCAUCUUUAGAAUUCUGCGCACCACAGCUACCAACCUGGAAGCACUUUAGUCCCCUCUGGGGGUCCCGGAUGAAUGUGGAGGUCUCCAUGUUCCAGAGAUGGAUGCAGGUUCCCAGGUACUGCUACAAGGCUGAUGGAGAAAGGGAUGGCAACAGGAGCGUCAGACAAAGAAGCUCAUUCUAUAGACCCAGCAGGGCCAGCACUGACCAACAGAUGCACCAUCACCUCGGGAGGCAGGUUCAUUCUCUCUCUAGACAGGCUCGAGAAUGGAGACAGAAAAUGGAGGUAACUUGCCCAAGGCCACUCUGUAGACCAGGCAAUUUGAAAGGAAGAGAGGAUUUAGGCGCCAUACUCAAGGUUACCUGGGUAAGAAAUGAUGGAGCAAGAAUGUCACCCAUGGGACCACACCCCUGAAUCUAUAAAUUGGAGUGUUUCUGCAAAUUCUAAGAGGUUCUUAACAUUAUCCAGAAUGGUGCCCUGGUGGACGAUCAUGCACCUUG